rnacentral:rRNA from 1 species
CAGUAGCCACGGUAAUACGGAGGAUCCAAGCGUUAUCCGGAAUCAUUGGGUUUAAAGGGUCCGUAGGCGGUCUUGUAAGUCAGUGGUGAAAGCCCAUCGCUCAACGGUGGAACGGCCAUUGAUACUGCAGGACUUGAAUUAUUGGGAAGUAACUAGAAUAUGUAGUGUAGCGGUGAAAUGCUUAGAGAUUACAUGGAAUACCAAUUGCGAAGGCAGGUUACUACCAAUUGAUUGACGCUGAUGGACGAAAGCGUGGGUAGCGAACAGGAUUAGAGACCCCAGUAGUCCCUGUCUCUUAUAC